AUGCUUCGGUUUCUUAAAAGGUUGAAGCUGAGCAACAUGCAGAGAGUAAGAGAAGUAUUAGUUCCGCCAUUGGAGGAAUUAGUUUUAGAUCGAAUGCCAGAUUUACAGAUAUGUUCAUGUACUUCUGUGGGGGAUAUGAAGUCUAGUUUAAGGGUGCUGGAGAUCUGGAGUUGCUCUGCACUUGAGGUGUUUGAUCUGUUUCAGAAAGGUUAUAACUACAAAACUGAGCUUAAGUCGCCGAUGCCUAGCCUGAGGAAACUCAUUGUGGUCGGUUGUCCUCGUUUGCAAGUACAGACCCCUCUUCCGCCUUCAGCCACACUUUCUAAACUAAUAAUCACUAGUGUUUCAACAAUUAUGUCAAUGGAGGGACUUUCCAUGGAAACAUUAAAGCUUUAUGGAUAUGGACUUCCGAGUGAGAUUAUGGCACUCAAUGACAAAAUUUUGGCAUUCAGUAAUCUUAAGGAUAUAAAAUACUUACAGAUAUUGUCUUGCAAAAGCAUGACAUCUAUUUCAUUCAAAGGUUUAAGUCAGCUCAUCUCUUUAAAGAGUUUGAAAAUAGAAUAUUGCAGAGAACUUUUCUCUUCAGAUGUUGUGCCAGAGCAGACCCAUGAAGACAAGAUAACUGCAAAUGAGGUUGCUCUCCCAUCUCUUGAAAGUCUUUGUAUUAGAGAUUGUGGAAUAACAGGGAAGUUGUUAUCUCUGAUGUUGCAACAUUCACCAGCCCUGAAGGAAUUGACUUUAUAUGAAUGCCCGCAGUUGAAACAGCUAAAGAUAGAAGAGGAAGGAAAGGUUCAAUCAAACUUUAUCUCAGGUUCCGAGACUUCGUCAUCAGGAUAUGUAGAUGAUGCAUGGACAAACUCAUAUGUUGACGGAGUCGUGCACAUUCCGCUGAAUCUCAUAAGGAUAACCAUUGGUAAAUGCCCUCAUCUAAUAUUUGAUGGGAGUAGGGAAGAUUUGGUUGGAUUUACCUCCCUUGAUAAAGAUGCCCAAGAGAAGGGAAGAUGUCUCCUCCCACAAUCACUUGAUCAACUUGUUUGGAUUGAUUAUCCCCAAAAAACACUGCGACCCUGCUUUGUGCGGAAUCUCACACGCCUCAGAAAAUUAGAAGUAAUUGAAGGAAGUUUGGAAUAUCUACAGAUGGAUUCCUGUACGGCGUUAGAAGAAUUGGAAAUUGAAAAUUGCCAUCUGCUCAUCCCUGUCCUGGCCCACCUGUUGCAGUACUUAGCUUAA
rnacentral:rRNA from 1 species